AGAGUUUGAUCAUGGCUCAGAUUGAACGCUGGCGGCAGGCUUAACACAUGCAAGUCGAGCGGGGGAGAUUGCUUCGGUAAUUGACCUAGCGGCGGACGGGUGAGUAAUACUUAGGAAUCUGCCUAUUAAUGGGGGACAACAUCUCGAAAGGGAUGCUAAUACCGCAUACGCCCUACGGGGGAAAGCAGGGGAUCACUUGUGACCUUGCGUUAAUAGAUGAGCCUAAGUCGGAUUAGCUAGUUGGUGGGGUAAAGGCCUACCAAGGCGACGAUCUGUAGCGGGUCUGAGAGGAUGAUCCGCCACACUGGGACUGAGACACGGCCCAGACUCCUACGGGAGGCAGCAGUGGGGAAUAUUGGACAAUGGGGGGAACCCUGAUCCAGCCAUGCCGCGUGUGUGAAGAAGGCCUUAUGGUUGUAAAGCACUUUAAGCGAGGAGGAGGCUCUUUUGGUUAAUACCCAAGAUGAGUGGACGUUACUCGCAGAAUAAGCACCGGCUAACUCUGUGCCAGCAGCCGCGGUAAUACAGAGGGUGCGAGCGUUAAUCGGAUUUACUGGGCGUAAAGCGUGCGUAG
rnacentral:rRNA from 1 species